rnacentral:rRNA from 1 species
AUUGAACGCUGGCGGCAGGCCUAACACAUGCAAGUCGAGCGGAUGAAGGGAGCUUGCUCCUGGAUUCAGCGGCGGACGGGUGAGUAAUGCCUAGGAAUCUGCCUGGUAGUGGGGGAUAACGUCCGGAAACGGGCGCUAAUACCGCAUACGUCCUGAGGGAGAAAGUGGGGGAUCUUCGGACCUCACGCUAUCAGAUGAGCCUAGGUCGGAUUAGCUAGUUGGUGGGGUAAAGGCCUACCAAGGCGACGAUCCGUAAUUGGUCUGAGAGGAUGAUCAGUCACACUGGAACUGAGACACGGUCCAGACUCCUACGGGAGGCAGCAGUGGGGAAUAUUGGACAAUGGGCGAAAGCCUGAUCCAGCCAUGCCGCGUGUGUGAAGAAGGUCUUCGGAUUGUAAAGCACCUUAAGUUGGGAGGAAGGGCAGUAAGUUAAUACCUUGCUGUUUUGACGUUACCAACAGAAUAAGCACCGGCUAACUUCGUG